rnacentral:rRNA from 1 species
GACGAACGCUGGCGGCGUGCUUAACACAUGCAAGUCGAACGGAAAGGCCCUGCUUUUGUGGGGUGCUCGAGUGGCGAACGGGUGAGUAACACGUGAGUAACCUGCCCUUGACUUUGGGAUAACUUCAGGAAACUGGGGCUAAUACCGGAUAGGAGCUCCUGCUGCAUGGUGGGGGUUGGAAAGUUUCGGCGGUUGGGGAUGGACUCGCGGCUUAUCAGCUUGUUGGUGGGGUAGUGGCUUACCAAGGCUUUGACGGGUAGCCGGCCUGGGAGGGUGACCGGCCACAUUGGGACUGCGAUACGGCCCAGACUCCUACGGGAGGCAGCAGGGGGGAAUAUUGCGCAGUGGGCGGAAGCCUGAUGCGGCAACGCCGCGUGCGGGAUAACGGCCUUCGGGUUGUAAACCGCUUUCGCCUGUGACGAAGCGUGAGUGACGGUAAUUGGUAAAGAAGCACCGGCUAACUACGUG